AGGGGAAUAAUUGGGUCUGUAAAUGACGUUGAUGUGCGAAAAGCGUGGGGAUCAAACAGGUAUUAGUUACCCUGGUGAGUCCACGCUGUAAACGAUGAGUGCUAAGUGUUAGGGGGUUUCCGCCCCUUAUUGCUGCAGCUAACGCAUUAAGCACUCGGCCUGGGGAGUACGACCGCAAGGUUGAAACUCAAAGGAAUUGACGGGGACCCGCACAAGCGGUGGAGCAUGUGGUUUAAUUUGAAGCGACGCGAAGAACCUUACCAAAUCUUGACAUCCUCUGACCCCUCUAGAGAUAGAGUUUUCCCCUUCGGGGGACAGAGUGACAGGUGGUGCAUGGUUGUCGUCAGCUCGUGUCGUGAGAUGUUGGGUUAAGUCCCGCAACGAGCGCAACCCUUAAGCUUAGUUGCCAUCAUUAAGUUGGGCACUCUAAGUUGACUGCCGGUGACAAACCGGAGGAAGGUGGGGAUGACGUCAAAUCAUCAUGCCCCUUAUGAUUUGGGCUACACACGUGUUACAAUGGACAAUACAAAGGGUAGCGAAACCGCGAGGUCAAGCAAAUCCCAUAAAGUUGUUCUCAGUUCGGAUUGUAGUCUGCAACUCGACUAUAUGAAGCUGGAAUCGCUAGUAAUCGUAGAUCAGCAUGCUACGGUGAAUACGUUCCCGGGUCUUGUACACACCGCCCGUCACACCACGAGAGUUUGUAACACCCGAAGCCGGUGGAGUAACCAUUGGAGCUAGCCGUCGANCNUAGAUGNNNNNNNUUGANNUNC
rnacentral:rRNA from 1 species